GGCAGCACCGGGAGAGCGACCUGGUAGCUGGCAGAAAUAGCUCCCUUGGCACGAGCGAUUGCCAUGGGGAGUUUUCUGCGCUCUUCAAAUCUCUGAAAAGAGUUAGUGCAUUUGCGACAAGCGCCUGUAUAGCGGCGAACUUGUUUAAGCGGAUACCGCAUCGCUCGGGGCGAACAUGUUUCUCCUCGCGGUUCCGUAGUCCCG
rnacentral:sRNA from 10 species